rnacentral:rRNA from 1 species
UUAAAUUGAAGAGUUUGAUCAUGGCUCAGAUUGAACGCUGGCGGCAGGCCUAACACAUGCAAGUCGAGCGGAAACGAGUUAUCUGAACCUUCGGGGAACGAUAACGGCGUCGAGCGGCGGACGGGUGAGUAAUGCCUAGGAAAUUGCCCUGAUGUGGGGGAUAACCAUUGGAAACGAUGGCUAAUACCG